rnacentral:rRNA from 1 species
AGUCGAGCGAGAUUCUGCAGAGUAUCGUAGAGUUUAGCGGCAGACGGGUGAGUAACACGUAGGAAACCUUCCUUAGAAUGGGGAAUAUCUCCGAGAAAUCGGAGGUAAUACCGCAUAAGACCACAGUUUGAUAUCAAACAGGGGUCAAAGCAGUAGUGCGUUUUGAGAUGGUCCUGCGGCCUAUCAGCUAGUUGGUGGGGCAAUGGCCUACCAAGGCUAUGACGGGUAUCCGGCCUGAAAGGGUGAACGGACACACUGGAACUGAGACACGGUCCAGACUCCUACGGGAGGCAGCAGUGGGGAAUUUUGGACAAUGGGGGCAACCCUGAUCCAGCGACGCCGCGUGGAGGACGAAGGCCUUCGGGUUGUAAACUCCUUUUGGAGGGGAAGAAAAAAAUGACGGUACCCUCAGAAAAAGCCACGGCUAACUACGUGCCAGCAGCCGCGGUAAUACGUAGGUGGCGAGCGUUACUCGGAAUUACUAGGCGUAAAGCGUAUGUAGGCGGUUAGAUAAGUCUUUAGUGAAAUUUCUCGGCUCAACCGGGAAAGGUCUAAGGAUACUGUUUGACUUGAGUGUGGGAGGGGGAGACGGAAUUCCUGGUGUAGCGGUGAAAUGCGUAGAUAUCAGGAGGAACACCGAUGACGAAAGCAGUCUCCUGGACCAAUACUGACGCUAAUGUACGAAAGCUAGGGUAGCAAACAGGAUUAGAUACCCUGGUAGUCCUAGCUGUAAACGAUGUUCACUAGAUGUGGGAGGUAUCGACCCCUUCCGCGUCGACGCUAACGCAUUAAGUGAACCGCCUGGGGAGUACGGCCGCAAGGUUGAAACUCAAAGGAAUUGACGGGGGCCCGCACAAGCGGUGGAGUAUGUGGUUUAAUUCGACGCAACACGAAAAACCUUACCUGGGCUUGAACUGCUAAUGGUAAAAACCGGAAACGGCAAUGACUCGCAAGGGAGUUAGCGGAGGUGCUGCAUGGCUGUCGUCAGCUCGUGUCGUGAGAUGUUGGGUUAAGUCCCGCAACGAGCGCAACCCUUAUCCCAUGUUACCUGUAGCAAUACAGGGUCUCUGAGGAAACUGCCAUUGAUAAAAUGGAGGAAGGUGGGGACGACGUCAAGUCAUCAUGGCCUUUAUGUCCAGGGCUACACACGUACUACAAUGGUCGGUACAGAGGGCAGCGAUAUCGCAAGAUGGAGCAAAUCCCUAAAAGCCGACCUCAGUUCAGAUUGUGGGCUGCAAUUCGCCCACAUGAAGUAGGAAUCGCUAGUAAUCGCAGAUCAGCAGGCUGCGGUGAAUACGUUCCCGGGCCUUGUACACACCGCCCGUCACACCACGAAAGUCAGUUAUAACAGAAGUCGUUGAGCUAACCGCAAGGAGGCAGGCGCCUAAGUUAUGGUUGGUGAUUGGGGUGAAGUCGUAACAAGGUAGCCGUACGAGAACGCGCGGCUGGAUCACCUCCUUUCUAAGGAGUAAACAUACGUUUUAAGUUUGCUUAAACGGGAUGUUAACGGUCGAUUCUUGAUUUACAGUGUUUGGGAUUGUCUUCUUUUGCGGGGCGUUUAUUUGCGUGUUAUUUGGUUGUUUUGUGCGCUGAAAGUGGUAGAGUUACGACACUAUGGUCAAACAGCUUUAUGUUGGCGUACCAAUGUGAGGUUGCUUGAUUACAGACUAUAUCUUUAAACGGGCGUAAGUGAGUGGUUGUUUAAGCGGGCCUAUAGCUCAGUUAGUCAGAGCGCACCCCUGAUAAGGGUGAGGUCUGUGGUGCAACUCCACAUAGGCCCACCAACAGUUUGGCAGUCAGCUUUUAUAGAGGCAGUUGUUGGUAAAAUGGGGAUAUAGCUCAGCUGGGAGAGCGCCUGCUUUGCAAGCAGGAGGUCGUCGGUUCAAACCCGACUAUCUCCAUGAGUGGUAGCCCUUCAGAUGGCGCCUAGUGUCGUUGCAAAUUGCGAAAGCGGUUAGUACAUUUAUAUUGGUCAGGUCUGAUUACAUAUGAAGUGAUUGUUUUGUUCAUUGAAAACUUAAUAGUUGUAAGGUAAAUCAAGCGUCUUCAAAUUAAUUUUUGAAACAAUGUAGUACGAUUAGUAAAGUCAUACUUAACAUCUCGAGAGGGAUGAGAUUAAGUAAUGUGACCAAGCUACUAAGUGCAUAUAGUGGAUGCCUUGGCUAAGACUGUCGAAGAAGGACGUGGUAAGCUGCGUUAAGCGUCGGGGAGGUGCAAACAACCUUUGAUCCGGCGAUUUCCGAAUGGGGUAACCCACUAUAGAGCAAUCUAUAGUAUCCGAAAGGAAGGCAACCCAGGGAAGUGAAACAUCUCAGUACCUGGAGGAAAAGAAAUCAACCGAGUAUACCGAAAGUAGUGGCGAGCGAAAUCGGUGAAGCCCAAACCGUUGUGUUUACACAGCGGGGUUGCAGGACCGCGUAAGUAGAGUUACCAAUCAGAGGGUUAAUCGAACGGGUUUGGAAAGUCCGACCAUAGAAGGUGAAAGUCCUGUAAAUGAAAACUUUUUGACUCGAAGCGGUAUCCUAAGUACCAUCGGACACGUGAAAUCCGGUGGGAAUCCGGGGGGACCACCCUCCAAGGCUAAAUACAAGUCUUAGACCGAUAGCGAACCAGUACCGUGAGGGAAAGGCGAAAAGAACCGCGGGAGCGGAGUGAAAUAGAACCUGAAACUGUAUGCAUACAAGCAGUUCGAGGCUUAUGCCGGAAGCGCAAGUGACCGGAAUGGCUGAGAGCGUGCCUGUUGAAGAAUGAUCCGGCGAGUUAUUGGUGGGUGCGAGGUUAAUUAUUAUGUUAACGCAUAUUAAGCAGCCGUAGCGAAAGCAAGUCUGAAAGGGCGAAUAGUACCUAUCAUUAGACCCGAAGCCAAGUGAUCUAUGCCUGGACAGAGUGAAUUCUCUUUAACCGGAGAAGGAGGCUCGAAGCGUCGACCGUUGAAAAGGUCUUGCAUGAGCUGGGUAUAGGGGUGAAAGGCCAAUCUAACUUGGUGAUAGCUGGUUCUCCUCGAAAUAGCUUUUGGGCUAGCCUGGAGCGUUAAAUCAGAGAGGUAGAGCACUGGAUAGUUUAGUGAGUGUAACCCACUUUGCGAUGCUAACCAAACUCCGAAUUCUCUGACGUAUUUCUCCGGAGUCAGUACGUGUGGGAUAAGCUUCACGUGCAAAAGGGAAACAGCCCAGACCAUCAAUUAAGGUCCCAAAAUAUAUGCUAAGUGGUAAAGGAUGUGGAAUUUCCUAGACAGCUAGGAGGUUGGCUUAGAAGCAGCCAUCCUUUAAAGAGUGCGUAACAGCUCACUAGUCAAGUGAUUCUGCGCCGAAAACACCCGGGGCUCAAGCAUAUUACCGAAAUUAUGGAUUCUACAGUAAUUUGUAGAGUGGUAGAGGAGCGUUCCUGUCGCGCUGAAGGCAUACCGUAAGGAGUGCUGGAGCUUCAGGAAGCGAGGAUGUCGGAAUAAGUAGCGAUAAGAGAAGUGAAAAUCUUCUCCGCCGAAAACCUAAGGUUUCCUUGAGUAAAGUUCGUCUGCUCAGGGUCAGUCGAUCCUAAGCCGAGGUCGAAAGGCGUAGGCGAUGGGUAUCCGGUUAAUAUUCCGGAACUAUCCUUAGUGCGUAUAAUGUGUUUGGCUACGCUUUUCAGUAGGUCAUCAUCCGAUUGGAAGUGGAUGUUUCUCCGCAAGGAGGAGGACUUGGGGCGAUCCGAGGAACUGACUGUAUGGGGAGCCAAGAAAAACCCAGACACCUGUGCUAGGGGUAAACGUACCGCAAACGGACACACGUAGGUGGGGUGAAAAUCCUAAGGCGCGCGAGAUAACUUUCGCUUAGGAACUCGGCAUAUUGGCCCCGUAACUUCGGGAUAAGGGGUGCCUAUGGCAACAUAGGUCGCAGUGAAAUGGCCCUCGUGACUGUUUAACAAAAACACAGGACUCUGCUGAAAUCACAAGAUGAUGUAUAGGGUCUGACGCCUGCCCGGUG